AGAGUUUGAUCAUGGCUCAGGAUGAACGCUAGCUACAGGCUUAACACAUGCAAGUCGAGGGCAGCAUGGUCUUAGCUUGCUAAGACUGAUGGCGACCGGCGUACGGGUGAGUAACGCGUAUCCAACCUGCCCACCACUUGGGGAUAACCUUGCGAAAGUAAGACUAAUACCCAAUGACGUCUCUAGAAGACAUCUGAAAGAGAUUAAAGAUUUAUCGGUGAUGGAUGGGGAUGCGUCUGAUUAGCUUGUUGGCGGGGUAACGGCCCACCAAGGCGACGAUCAGUAGGGGUUCUGAGAGGAAGGCCCCCCACAUUGGAACUGAGGCACGGUCCAAACUCCUACGGGAGGCUGCA
rnacentral:rRNA from 1 species